rnacentral:rRNA from 1 species
CAGCCGCCGCGGUAAUACGGAGGGAGCUAGCGUUGUUCGGAAUUACUGGGCGUAAAGCGCACGUAGGCGGUUACUCAAGUCAGAGGUGAAAGCCCGGGGCUCAACCCCGGAACUGCCCUUGAAACUAGGUGACUAGAAUCUUGGAGAGGUCAGUGGAAUUCCGAGUGUAAAGGUGAAAUUCGUAGAUAUUCGGAAGAACACCAGUGGCGAAGGCGACUGACUGGACAAGUAUUGACGCUGAGGAGCGAAAGCAUGGGGAGCGAACAGGAUUAGAUACCCGAGUAGUCCCUGUCUCUUAUCA